rnacentral:tRNA from 1 species
GCCGCAAUAGCUCAGUUGGUAGAGCAGUUGAUUUGUAAUCAUCAGGUCGUGGGUUCAAAUCCUACUUGCGGCACCA